rnacentral:tRNA from 1 species
GGAGCGGGAACUCUACAGGUGUAGGGCCUUGCCUCAGAAGCAAAGGGUGCCUCCGGGCAUGGGGUUCGAGUCCUCCCCGCUCCG